CACGUAGGGUGCGAGCGUUGUCCGGAAUUAUUGGGCGUAAAGAGCUCGUAGGCGGUGUGUCGCGUCGGCCGUGAAAACCUGCAGCUUAACUGUGGGCUUGCGGUCGAUACGGGCAUCACUGGAGUUCGGCAGGGGAGACUGGAAUUCCUGGUGUAGCGGUGAAAUGCGCAGAUAUCAGGAGGAACACCGGUGGCGAAGGCGGCUACCUGGACCGGUACUGACGCUGAGGCGCGAAAGCUAGGGUAGCAAACAGG
rnacentral:rRNA from 1 species